CAAUUGGUAUCUCCUAAGGGAGCUGCUAUGAGAUCAAAGCAUAGACCCCUGAUGAGAAACUGUCAUUUUUAGAUAGCCUGGUGCCAUGAGUUAUAAAUUACUUUGUAAAUUUGUCAUGAAAUCGAGGGAGCAUCAAGAUCUGAAAAGGAAAGCUAUGUGUAAUUUGUUAUGCAUCAUUAACUAGAGCUCAGGGUGGGAUCCAUCAGAUGGGGUUUCUUUCUCUACAGUCUAUAUUCAUAGAUGUGUCUUUUUGCAGCAAUAUUGAAAGAAGCUAGAGGAAACAAUGGAGAAAUUUUCACAAGGUGAAAUUACGAUUCUCACAUGCACUAAUAUAGUAGAAAGUGGGCUUGACACUCAAAAUGCAAACACCAUUAUAAUUGAGGAUGUUCAACAAUUUGGCCUAGCACAGUUGUAUCAGGAAUGACAAUGUUGAGAAUUCUAUUGAUAGCUACCGCGAAGCCUUUGACGUUGUUGACCUGAUGGUAUAUAAUGGUACAUGCUGUUGGCUCUCUUUUCCAAUAUAUCCGGCUGGGAAUCGACCUGUCUACAAGGUGCUGGACAUUUGAUUCUUUUCUCAAAUUGCUUUGCUAAAGUGAUUACAAAAAUGCUUAUUUCUUAGCUUUGCCUUCACACCUUUUGCCUUUAUACAAGCCAGUAGAUUUCAAAAUGUUUAACUCAUAGUCUUGUUUAUCCUCUUUUGUUGUGGAAUUAUUAAGAUAAGUAUUAACUAUAAACUUUCAAUUAUCUAAUUCUUGGAAACACAAGCAAGAUAGUUGUUUUGCAAUUCUAGUAUGUUCUGACCUCAAGCUCUGACUCUGAAGCAACAGUCAGGAUAAAACUCACAUGUGCCUGUAUAGAAUUAUGCACGUUACUGCUA